ensembl:lncRNA
UGAUCAUCUCGGAUCAAUAACCCACCUCUGCAAAUAACAUCGUCCUUUUCACCGUGCUUUCAUCAGCGCCUGGCUAGCUCAACAACAUCUGCAUGGCUAACUAGUUAUCAUCUCACCCUCACUUUCGCUCUUUAAAAUCACCUCCUGAUCUCUUGUGGUGUGUAAAUGCAGCUCAAUCUUUGUCGGUCUCUCAGUAUUAACAGUAUUAAUAAUAAUUCAUCUUAAUCUCAACCUUUUACGUUACUCAAACAUCUCCUUUACCUUCAAGCCUUGAUUGCAAAGGCUCCCCUUUUGCGCCUGCCACCACCCGCUGCUGCUGCUGCCGCCGCCGCCGCCGCCUCCUCCUCAGCAGCACCUCCUCCUCCGGGAGCCGGUGUCUCUACUCUGCUGGACGAGCCCACAGACGAGGAGCUGCUGGAAGCCUCACAGGAGAUAGACCUUCUGCAGCCCUCGUCGUGGUUCAGCCUGCCGGGACACCGGCUCCCUCGCCUCCAGCCGCCCCCUUGACGCCGUCCGCACCCGUUGCCGUGGAGGAACGGGAGGAGUUGCCCGGUCCAGGCAACUCUGCCCGAGAUGCCCCCUCUGCCAUCCCCCGUCUGGCUGCUGACCGUGUACAGCUACGACGUCCUGGCGCGGCUGGAUGAGUACAAGGCCAGGAUCACGUCCACCUUCGGGUCAAUCAAAAAGAUGGACUCCACCAAGAAGGUGACAAAGAAGCUCGCGGGUAUCGCCUCCGACACGGCCGCCUGGGCUACCAACGUCGGCAAUGAGCACGGGCAGGUCCUCAUGAGCGUCCUCACCUCCACCGAGAGAGCGCCGGGGGCCUGUCCGGGAUGGCGGCCGGCUUGAUGAGGCGGUACCGACUCGCCGGGGUACCUCCCCCCCAGCUGAUCUACGUGGACCGCGACUGCUGCAACAGGGACGGCGUGUCAAAGACAGCUGUCUUGUUUCAGGAGUGGGAGCAUCUCGUGGUGAGACUGGACAUCUGGCACCUGAUGCGACGCUUCGCAUCAGGUGUCAACACCGAGAGCCACGAGCUGUACCCCACCUUCAUGAGGCAGCUGUCUAACUGCAUCUUUGAGGUGGACGCCGGAGAUGCACGCCGUCUCGCAGAGGCUAAGCGGUCCCAGCUGGAGGGGAAGCACGGGAUGGUUGGACUGACGGACGCCGCGGUGAACCAGAGGAUCUCCAAGGAGGAGUGGAGGCUCCACGUCCGCCGCAGGACACGGGGGCCUGAGGAAUCGGCCCUCCUCAUCCAGGAGCUCCUCGACACCUUCGGUGGACCGGCAGGACGCAACAACCUGGGCAUCCCGUUGCUCAACGCUCUCCGCAUCCAGGAAAUAUGGAGUACGCAGAGGACCCACCUCAGCUGCAUCCAGGACCCGCCAGGUGUGCAGCUGUACACCCAGACGGGCCGGCUGACCAAGGGAGGAGUCAGCCUGCCCGUAUAUCGCUGCGCGAGGGGCUCCACCUCUCUGGAGUCCUUCCACCUCCACCUUAACCGGUUCAUCCCAGGGACCCGGGCCAGCGCCAAGCACUUCCAGGCGUUCCUGGUGGAUGGACUGGUGAGGUGGAACGAGGACCGCGCAGCGGCAGCUGCACCACCACCGGCUGCAGUCGAGGGACGGCUGGGACCUCUGCACUCCUACAGUGGCCACCUCAAGCACGUCCUUAACCAGAAGAGCCAAAGAGUGCUUGGUCUUCAGAUGGUUAAGGACUUCACCGAGCCGGCUGAGUACACAGGGGAGCUCAUCGGAGUGGAGUACCUGUACCAGCAGACCGGCAAAGUGCUUGAGGACGUCAGCCUGGACCCUGACACUCCGGACGAGGCUCCUGCCAUCGAGGCGCUGGAGGAGGAUGAGGGCAUCGAGGAAGACGUAGAGGACCCUACCGUCUUCGGGC